rnacentral:rRNA from 1 species
UACGUAGGGACCAAGCGUUGUUCGGAUUUACUGGGCGUAAAGGGCGCGUAGGCGGCCUGUUAAGUCGAACGUGAAAUCCCUGGGCUCAACCCAGGAACUGCGUCCGAUACUGGCAGGCUUGAAUUCGGGAGAGGGAUGCGGAAUUCCAGGUGUAGCGGUGAAAUGCGUAGAUAUCUGGAGGAACACCGGUGGCGAAGGCGGCAUCCUGGACCGAGAUUGACGCUGAGGCGCGAAAGCCAGGGGAGCAAACGGG